CCUACGGGUGGCUGCAGUGAGGAAUAUUGGUCAAUGGACGAGAGUCUGAACCAGCCAAGUAGCGUGAAGGAUGACUGCCCUAUGGGUUGUAAACUUCUUUUAUAAAGGAAUAAAACGUUGCACGUGUGCCUUUUUGUAUGUACCUUAUGAAUAAGGAUCGGCUAACUCCGUGCCAGCAGCCGCGGUAAUACGGAGGAUCCGAGCGUUAUCCGGAUUUAUUGGGUUUAAAGGGAGCGUAGAUGGGUUGUUAAGUCAGUUGUGAAAGUUUGCGGCUCAACCGUAAAAUUGCAAUUGAUACUGGCAGUCUUGAGUACAGUAGAGGUGGGCGGAAUUCGUGGUGUAGCGGUGAAAUGCUUAGAUAUCACGAAGAACCCCGAUUGCGAAGGCAGUUUACUAAACUGCGACUGACAUUGAUGCUCGAAAGUGUGGGUAUCAAACAGGAUUAGAUACCCUAGUAGUC
rnacentral:rRNA from 1 species